UUUUUUUUUUUUUUUUAUUUUGUCAUUUUUUAGAAAGAAAAAUCAAACUUUUGUUUUUUAUAGACAUUAUAACAAAUAUGAAACUUAAUUUCAAAAAAUCACAUGGCUUGAAUCUAAUUUAUGUACUCAACUCCAUCUAAAACAAUAAAAUAGCACAACUUAAUACUAAAUAUUAUCUAUGUAAUUUCCACAGUAGAGCUUCCUUCACUGAACAUGUUGUUUUAUAUGUGCUUUGACCGUCGUCCUUCAGGAUAGAAGCGGGACAUCAUCAACACUACACAGGAUAAUUGAAUAAAAGGAAGAACCAAAGUAAGGUGUACACUAUGAUGUAGGAAGACUACAAGGGAAAUUUUCCAGCAAAUGGAUUUGAUAUGCCACUGCAACGCUCAAACAUUCUACAUGACCAUUAUAAUUUUGAUCAUCCAAAUUGACGUCUGAGUUUGAGCUUCACCAUAGAUGCCUGAAAUAGAAAGAAAAUUAAUUAGACCACAUUUUUUUUUUCUCAUAAACCAUUCAUUGUCUUAAGUACAUAAAGUAGCAUUCCAGUAUUGAGAUACAAAGUUUCAAACGAGCAAGUGUUGUCAGCCUGUCACAAUCUGAAUGCUCUCAACGCUUUAAGGGAGAUAAAAUCAGUCAUGCACAGCUCCAAACUCAUUUUGUUCAAUAGCAAGAUGGCAUAUAGUACUAUCACCAAUUAAGAUUCAGAAGAACCAAGUAAAGUCUAUCUUACAAGUUGCCAACUCAUUCCGGUUUUGGAAAACUGGUAAGCAAAUAUUGCUGCACCCAAGCACCAUGAAAAGCAACACAUACAAUCAUAGGCAAGAACAUUAAUUCAGUUGACUGCUCAAAAUAACAGUCAAUAUGGGAUCUGUACAGAGAAUACAAAACAUGAAUCCUAGUGAAUGAGCUCUCCACCACCUGAUGCAGGACAGCCUAGGGAAAUCUGAGGGAAAUGGGCUGUUUGCAUGGAAACUUGUGGAGUCAGAGUUGGAAGUGGUGAUGAAGAAGACUCAUUCUGAGAGUAAACAGAAGGAAGGAACCCAGUUUUUCCAAGGAACAGAUGAGGAUCAAAGAUUAUCGACGGGUUACUUGGAACCUGAGCAAAAAGGAAAGAGAAUGAAGUCUUCAAGAGCAAAAAUCGAAAGGCAGAAGAUGCACAGUUCUGGAAUUAGGAGGCAACCAGGUAAUGAUGCUGGCCAGCUAACCUUCAUACUAACAAGAGAUAUUAUGGGAGCCAUGGAUCCAAUUAUACCAGUUUAUAAGAAAUGCAUUCCAUCAAUCCUUUUAACACUUGUCAUGCUUAAUAACAUUAACAAGUAAAAGCCCAUAUCCAAUGAGCACACAGAUAAACACUACCCUACUCCUAGUACUAAAGCCUGGAGAUAUUCUAGCACUGAAAGACUGUUGCAUGGAAAGAUAGAGGUACUUAACCAAUCAAGCAAGUCAAAUGUAGAAGUUGCCUUCAAUUCAGGCCAGGGUGUGAGAGAUUGACUAAAAUACUUGGUUUUACCAUAAAUUUCUAUUACUUCAAUUAAGGUUAUUAAGCAUUCAUGAGAACUGUGAAUGUUCGAACGGAUACAGACAUUUAGGGACGGUAAGCUCUAAACUCUACCCUUCUAGUAUUUAAUUUCCAACAUGCUAGUCAAGGAUGGUUUUUAUCAUUCCCCACUUUCCUAACAUCCAUUCUGAUUUGAUUCUGACUUUUAGCUGAAUCGAUGAACAAAUCAUAAAAAAGACAAAAAAAAAAAAGAAAGAGCAUGUAAGAGAGCCAUGUUAUUGAAGUCCUAUACUGCACAAACUAAAUGCUUAGCAGCAACGUUUUGCAAUUACUAGUUCUAAAAGUUCAGUUAUGGCAAAUGAAAUAGCUCAAAUCAAUUAUGAAAAUUAAGAGACAGAUGUAUCACUGUUACCUCUUACAGAAC
rnacentral:misc_RNA from 1 species